AACGAACGCUGGCGGCAGGCUUAACACAUGCAAGUCGAACGCCCCGCAAGGGGAGUGGCAGACGGGUGAGUAACGCGUGGGAACGUACCUUUCAGUUCGGAAUAACUCAGGGAAACUUGUGCUAAUACCGGAUACGCCCGCAAGGGGAAAGAUUUAUCGCUGAAAGAUCGGCCCGCGUUGGAUUAGCUAGUUGGUGGGGUAAAGGCCUACCAAGGCGACGAUCCAUAGCUGGUCUGAGAGGAUGAUCAGCCACACUGGGACUGAGACACGGCCCAGACUCCUACGGGAGGCAGCAGUGGGGAAUAUUGGACAAUGGGCGCAAGCCUGAUCCAGCCAUGCCGCGUGUGUGAUGAAGGCCUUAGGGUUGUAAAGCACUUUCACCGAUGAAGAUAAUGACGGUAGUCGGAGAAGAAGCCCCGGCUAACUCGUG
rnacentral:rRNA from 1 species